CUACGGGAGGCAGCAGUAGGGAAUCUUCCGCAAUGGACGAAAGUCUGACGGAGCAACGCCGCGUGAGUGAUGAAGGCUUUCGGGUCGUAAAACUCUGUUGUUAGGGAAGAACAAGUGCUAGUUGAAUAAGCUGGCACCUGACGUACCUAGCAGAUGUUAGU
rnacentral:rRNA from 1 species